rnacentral:rRNA from 1 species
UACGGGGGGGGGCAAGCGUUGUUCGGAAUUACUGGGCGUAAAGGGCUCGUAGGUGGCCAACUAAGUCAGACGUGAAAUCCCUCGGCUUAACCGGGGAACUGCGUCCGAUACUGGAUGGCUUGAGUUCGGGAGAGGGAUGCGGAAUUCCAGGUGUAGCGGUGAAAUGCGUAGAUAUCUGGAGGAACACCGGUGGCGAAGGCGGCAUCCUGGACCGACACUGACGCUGAGGAGCGAAAGCCAGGGGAGCAAACGGG